rnacentral:lncRNA from 1 species
GCCGAACUUCGCCUUUGACUUUAAUUGCAGGAAGACUCCACCCGGACUCCCACGGGAGUCGGGCUUCGUCCUCGACUCCAACGACUGCAGACAGACUUCGUCCGGACUCCUACGGGAGUCGGACUCUGCCGACAACUUCAACCGCAAGUAAACUCCGCUCGGACUCCUACGGGAGCCAGGCUCCGUCCUCAACAUCAAC